AUUGAACGCUGGCGGCAUGCCUUACACAUGCAAGUCGAACGGCAGCACGGGGCAACCUGGUGGCGAGUGGCGAACGGGUGAGUAAUGCAUCGGAACGUACCUUUCAGUGGGGGAUAACGUAGCGAAAGUUACGCUAAUACCGCAUAUUCUGUGAGCAGGAAAGCAGGGGAUCGCAAGACCUUGCGCUGAUUGAGCGGCCGAUGUCAGAUUAGCUAGUUGGUGAGGUAAAGGCCCACCAAGGCGACGAUCUGUAGCGGGUUUGAGAGGAUGAUCCGACACACUGGCACUGAGACCCGGUCCAGAGUCCUACGGGAGGCAGCAGUGGGGAAUUUUGGACAAUGGGGGCAACCCUGAUCCAGCCAUGCCGCGUGAGUGAAGAAGGCCUUCGGGUUGUAAAGCUCUUUCGGCCGGGAAGAAAUCGCACGGGCUAAUACCCUGUGUGGAUGACGGUACCGGAAUAAGAAGCACCGGCUAACUACGUGCCAGCCGCCGCCGUAAAAC
rnacentral:rRNA from 1 species